rnacentral:rRNA from 1 species
UACCGCGGUUACACGAAGAGCCCUAGCUAAUAGGCACCGGCGCAAAGGGUGGUUAGGAAUUUGCACGUAAAGCCAAACUUUCCCCCCGCUGUGGUACGCAGCCUAAGAGCAAAGACCUCAACGAAAGUAACUUUAUCCCGCCUGAAGCCACAAAAGCUUGGACA